AGCGAACGCUGGCGGCAGGCUUAACACAUGCAAGUCGAGCGGGCACUUUCGGGUGUCAGCGGCGGACGGGUGAGUAACGCGUGGGAACGUGCCCUCUGGUCCGGAAUAACUCAGGGAAACUUGAGCUAAUACCGGAUACGCCCUUUUGGGGAAAGGCUUGCUGCCGGAGGAUCGGCCCGCGUCUGAUUAGCUAGUUGGUGAGGUAACGGCUCACCAAGGCGACGAUCAGUAGCUGGUCUGAGAGGAUGAUCAGCCACACUGGGACUGAGACACGGCCCAGACUCCUACGGGAGGCAGCAGUGGGGAAUAUUGGACAAGGGGCGCAAGCCUGAUCCAGCCAUGCCGCGUGAGUGAUCAAGGCCUUAGGGUUGUAAAGCUCUUUUAUCCGGGACGAUAAUGACGGUACCGGAGGAAUAAGCCCCGGCUAACUUCGUG
rnacentral:rRNA from 1 species